GACGAACGCUGGCGGCGUGCCUAACACAUGCAAGUCGAACGAAGUGGCGAACGGGUGAGUAACGCGUAAGCAACCUGCCCUUCAGAGGGGGACAACAGUUGGAAACGACUGCUAAUACCGCAUACUGAAGGAGGGGAGUGCGUCUGAUUAGCUAGUUGGGGGGGUAACGGCCCACCAAGGCGAUGAUCAGUAGCCGGUCUUGGAGGAGUGACGGCCACAUUGGGACUGGGACACGGCCCAGACUCCUACGGGAGGCAGCAGUGGGGAAUCUUCCGAAAUGGACGAAAGUCUGACGGAGCAACGCCGCGGGAGUGAUGACGGCCUUCGGGUUGUAAAGCUCUGUUAAUCGGGACGCGGUACCGGAAUAGAAAGCCCCGGCUAACUACGUGCCAGCAGCCGCGGUAAUUC
rnacentral:rRNA from 1 species